GUCGAGCGAAGCGAUUUAAGUGAAGUUUUCGGAUGGAUCUUAGAUUGACUGACCGUCGGACGGGUGAGUAACGCGUGGAUAACCUGCCUCACACAGGGGGAUAACAGUUAGAAAUGACUGCUAAUACCGCAUAAGCGCACGGUACCGCAUGGUACAGUGUGAAAAACUCCGGUGGUGUGAGAUGGAUCCGCGUCUGAUUAGGUAGUUGGUGAGGUAACAGCCCACCAAGCCGACGAUCAGUAGCCGACCUGAGAGGGUGACCGGCCACAUUGGGACUGAGACACGGCCCAAACUCCUACGGGAGGCAGCAGUGGGGAAUAUUGCAUAAUGGGCGAAAGCCUGAUGCAGCAACGCCGCGUGAGUGAAGAAGUAUCUCGGUAUGUAAAGCUCUAUCAGCAGGGAAGAAAAUGACGGUACCUGACUAAGAAGCCCCGGCUAACUACGUGCCAGCAGCCGCGGUAAUACGUAGGGGGCAAGCGUUAUCCGGAUUUACUGGGUGUAAAGGGAGCGCAGACGGCACUGCAAGUCUGAAGUGAAAGCCCGGGGCUCAACCCCGGGACUGCUUUGGAAACUGUAGAGCUAGAGUGCUGGAGAGGCAAGCGGAAUUCCUAGUGUAGCGGUGAAAUGCGUAGAUAUUAGGAAGAACACCAGUGGCGAAGGCGGCUUGCUGGACAGUAACUGACGUUCAGGCUCGAAAGCGUGGGGAGCAAAC
rnacentral:rRNA from 1 species